GAUGAACGCUAGCGGCAGCUUAACACAUGCAAGUCGAGGGGCAGCAUAAAUAGUAGCAAUACUAUUGGUGGCGACCGGCGGACGGGUGCGUAACGCGUAUACAACCUUCCCUAAACAGGGGGAUAAUCUGGAGAAAUUCGGUCUAAUACCCCAUAACAUCAGAGCAGGCAUCUGUUUUGGUUAAAAUUUCCGGAGGUUUAGGAUGGGUAUGCGUAGCAUUAGCUAGUUGGUGAGGUAACGGCUCACCAAGGCGACGAUGCUUAGGGGGACUGAGAGGUUAACCCCCCACACGGGUACUGAGACACGGACCAGGCUCCUACGGGAGGCAGCAGUGAGGAAUAUUGGUCAAUGGGCGGAAGCCUGAACCAGCCAUGCCGCGUGCAGGAUGACGGCUCUAUGAGUUGUAAACUGCUUUUGUACGAGGGUAAAGUGGGCUACGUGUAGCCUUUUGAAAGUAUCGUACGAAUAAGGAUCGGCUAACUCCGUGCCAGCCGCCGCCGUAA
rnacentral:rRNA from 1 species